rnacentral:rRNA from 1 species
CGGCUCCUACGGGAGGCAGCAGGGAAUAUUGCACAAUGGGGGAAACCCUGAUGCAGCAACGCCGCGUGAGUGAGGAAGUAUUUCGGUAUGUAAAGCUCUAUCAGCAGGGAAUAGAAAAGAAGGUACCUGAAAAAGAAGCCCCGGCUAACUACGUGCCAGCUGCCGCGGUAAUACGUAGGGGGCAAGCGUUAUCCGGAUUUACUGGGUGUAAAGGGAGCGUAGACGGAAAGGCAAGUCAGAAGUGAAAGCCCAAGGCUCAACCAUGGGACUGCUUUUGAAACUGUCAAACUAGAGUACGGGAGAGG